GAAUUCUCAGUGCUCUAAACUAUCAUCAGUCCCAAAGGCAGGGGGUAGGACCAUGUGUACCACUAUGAUGGUCCUCACCACCAUCGCUUUCAUCCUGUGGCAGAGAUUCUCCAACAAAAUCAAACCGCAGAAAGUGGCUACUGAGAAAGACGUGCCACACAUGAAGAGCAAUGGAGCAGCAGAAACCCCAAAAUGACAACACUGCAGGACACGAACAAAGACCCAAGGAGGCCCCCAUCUCAAAUAUGUGGCCUCAGCUGACAAGACUUAUUUCCCUCGGAUACUACAGGAGAGAUUUCCAGACAUCUGUUUGUUGUUUUCUUUCAUUGAUCAGAUUCUGAUUUAUCUACACGUCACAGCUUACCCCAAGACUCCCACCAGCUUCUCUCUUUUUUUUUUUAAACGAGCUAUAAAAACAAUGAGGCCUGUUUUGAUCAUGGCUCCGCUAUCUGUCCUGCAGAUGUUCUCAUUAAAGGGAAACAGCAACUGAGUGAACUCCAGUUUGGAAGAUGACACCUGACAAAUGCUGUGUAUUCAUGUUGGAAACCGAAUAUUUUUUCUGUUUCAGAACAGAAACGAUCAGGGUUUAAAGUGAUAAAACAUGUUCUGUGCCUCCACAUAAAGUAACAGCCACAAUCAAUUCUUUGAUUUUCUGUUUUGCUCACUUUUGAAAUAUGUAAGGAUUUAUGUUAAAUGUAUGUAUGAGGACAAGAUGAGCUAUGACUGGGUGUAUUUUAAAGAGUUGCUUCCCUUAAUAUCUCAUAAGUGACCUAAUUUCUCUUGGAAAAGGGGCUAAAGUCAUGCAGUGUACUGUAUGUGGCAGGUAGGACCAUUACCCCUUAAAAUGUUUUGUUUUUAGGGGAAGCAUACUGAUUAAAUAAAGCAAUUAAAUGCA